rnacentral:rRNA from 1 species
CCUACGGGAUGCAGCAGUGAGGAAUAUUGGUCAAUGGACGCAAGUCUGAACCAGCAAUGCCGCGUGCAGGAAGACGGCUCUAUGAGUUGUAACCUGCUUUUGUACAAGGGUAAACCUGAAUACGUGUAUUCGGCUGAAAGUACUGUACGAAUAAGGAUCGGCUAACUCCGUGCCAGCAGCCGCGGUAAUACGGAGGAUCCAAGCGUUAUCCGGAUUUAUUGGGUUUAAAGGGUGCGUAGGCGGAUUGAUAAGUUAGAGGUGAAAUGUCCGAGCUUAACUCGGGAACUGCCUCUAAUACUGUUGAUCUAGAGUGUAGAUGCGGUAGGCGGAAUGUAUGGUGUAGCGGUGAAAUGCUUAGAGAUCAUACAGAACACCGAUUGCGAAGGCAGCUUACCAAUCUAUAUCUGACGUUGAGGCACGAAAGCGUGGGGAGCAAACAGGAUUAGAUACCCUGGUAGUC